AGCGAACGCUGGCGGCAGGCCUAAUACAUGCAAGUCGAGCGCACCUUCGGGUGAGCGGCGGACGGGCGAGUAACGCGUGGGAACGUGCCCUUUGGUACGGGAUAACUCAGGGAAACUGGAGCUAAUACCGUAUGUGCCCUUCUGGGGAAAGAUUUAUCGCCAUUGGAGCGGCCCGCGUUGGAUUAGCUAGUUGGUGGGGUAAAGGCCUACCAAGGCUACGAUCCAUAGCUGGUCUGAGAGGAUGAUCAGCCACACUGGGACUGAGACACGGCCCAGACUCCUACGGGAGGCAGCAGUAGGGAAUCUUGCGCAAUGGGCGAAAGCCUGACGCAGCCAUGCCGCGUGAAUGAUGAAGGUCUUAGGAUUGUAAAAUUCUUUCACCGGGGAAGAUAAUGACGGUACCCGGAGAAGAAGCCCCGGCUAACUUCGUGCCAGCCGCCGCCGUAA
rnacentral:rRNA from 1 species